UACUGAGAGCGUCCAGCACAGGGCACAGGACUGCGGGGAGCACAGGAGCCAUGGCCGGGUUCUCAGCGCUUCAUUUACUCUUUCUGUUCCAGCUGUUAACAUCGUCUCUCGCGCAGCAAAGGCCGGGUCCUCGGGGUGAAGCUGGAGCGCCGGGGCCGCCGGGGAAAGAUGGCAUUGACGGUAAACCUGGCCCUGCCGGACUUCCUGGAAAGCCUGGGCUGAAAGGUAAAGCAGGUAAAUCUGGGACCGCAGGAAGCCUGGGACUGCCUGGCCUCCCUGGUGUGGAUGUAAGUCACAAAGGAACAGUAGCAUUUUCAGUGCCACACACACACACACACGCAUGCACACACACACACACUCACACACACACACACACACACACACACACACUCACACACACACACACACACACACACACACACUCAGACACACGCACACACACACACGCACACACUCAGACACACUCACACACACACAC
rnacentral:lncRNA from 1 species